UGGGGAAUAUUGGACAAUGGGGGGCAACCCUGAUCCAGCAAUGCCGCGUGUGUGAAGAAGGUCUUCGGAUUGUAAAGCACUUUCGACGGGGACGAUGAUGACGGUACCCGUAGAAGAAGCCCCGGCUAACUUCGUGCCAGCAGCCGCGGUAAUACGAAGGGGGCUAGCGUUGCUCGGAAUGACUGGGCGUAAAGGGCGUGUAGGCGGUUUACACAGUCAGAUGUGAAAUCCCCGGGCUUAACCUGGGAGCUGCAUUUGAUACGUGUAGACUAGAGUGUGAGAGAGGGUUGUGGAAUUCCCAGUGUAGAGGUGAAAUUCGUAGAUAUUGGGAAGAACACCGGUGGCGAAGGCGGCAACCUGGCUCAUGACUGACGCUGAGGCGCGAAAGCGUGGGGAGCAAACAGGAUUAGAUACCCUGGUAGUCCACGCUGUAAACGAUGUGUGCUAGAUGUUGGGUAACUUUGUUAUUCAGUGUCGCAGUUAACGCGUUAAGCACACCGCCUGGGGAGUACGGCCGCA
rnacentral:rRNA from 1 species